rnacentral:rRNA from 1 species
CCUACGGGUGGCAGCAGUGAGGAAUAUUGGUCAAUGGACGAGAGUCUGAACCAGCCAAGUAGCGUGAAGGAUGACUGCCCUAUGGGUUGUAAACUUCUUUUAUAAAGGAAUAAAACGAGGCACGUGUGCCUUUUUGCAUGUACUUUAUGAAUAAGGAUCGGCUAACUCCGUGCCAGCAGCCGCGGUAAUACGGAGGAUCCGAGCGUUAUCCGGAUUUAUUGGGUUUAAAGGGAGCGUAGAUGGGUUGUUAAGUCAGUUGUGAAAGUUUGCGGCUCAACCGUAAAAUUGCAAUUGAUACUGGCAGUCGUGAGUACAGUUGAGGUAGGCGGAAUUCGUGGUGUAGCGGUGAAAUGCUUAGAUAUCACGAAGAACCCCGAUUGCGAAGGCAGCUUACUAAACUGUGACUGACAUUGAUGCUCGAAAGUGUGGGUAUCAAACAGGAUUUGAUACCCGGGUAGUC